rnacentral:rRNA from 1 species
GAUGAACGCUAGCGGCAGGCCUAAUACAUGCAAGUCGAGGGGCAGCAGUACUUUUCGGAGUAGCUGGCGACCGGCGCACGGGUGCGUAACGCGUAUGCAAUCUACCCACAGCAGAGGGAUAGCCCGUGGAAACAUGGAUUAAUACCUCAUAACACAGGGAGCCCACCUGGGCAUAUUGUUAAAGCUACGGCGGCAGUGGAUGAGCAUGCGUCCCAUUAGUUAGUUGGUAAGGUAACGGCUUACCAAGACGAUGAUGGGUAGGGGUUCUGAGAGGAUGAUCCCCCACACUGGUACUGAGAUACGGACCAGACUCCUACGGGAGGCAGCAGUAGGGAAUAUUGGUCAAUGGACGGAAGUCUGAACCAGCCAUGCCGCGUGCAGGAAGACGGCCUUCUGGGUU